rnacentral:rRNA from 1 species
UACAGAGGUCCCGAGCGUUGUUCGGAUUCACUGGGCGUAAAGGGUGCGUAGGUGGCGAGGUAAGUCGGAUGUGAAAGCUCUGAGCUCAACUCAGAAAUUGCAUUGGAAACUGCCCUGCUUGAGGAUUGGAGGGGGGACUGGAAUACUUGGUGUAGCAGUGAAAUGCGUAGAUAUCAAGUGGAACACCAGUGGCGAAGGCGAGUCCCUGGACAACUCCUGACACUGAGGCACGAAAGCUAGGGGAG